rnacentral:rRNA from 1 species
UACAGAGGGUGCAAGCGUUAAUCGGAAUUACUGGGCGUAAAGCGCACGUAGGCGGUUUGGUAAGUCGGAUGUGAAAUCCCCGGGCUUAACCUGGGAAUUGCAUUCGAUACUGCCUGGCUAGAGUCUGGAAGAGGGAAGCGGAAUUUCCGGUGUAGCGGUGAAAUGCGUAGAUAUCGGAAGGAACACCAGUGGCGAAGGCGGCUUCCUGGUCCAAGACUGACGCUGAGGUGCGAAAGCGUGGGUAGCGAACAGG